rnacentral:rRNA from 1 species
AACGGGGGGGCCGGCGAUAUUCGUCUUGGACUGGGUGUAUAGGGAUCGUAGGUGGUUUAUUCUAUUUGACACGAAAAGCUGGAGUUAACUCAUGAUGUUGUCUCAUAUUCUUAACCUUGAGUUUAAAAGGAGAAAGCGGUACUCUCGGUGGAGAGGGUAAUAUUCUGAAAUAUCCGGCGAGGACCACCAGUAGCGAAGGCGGUUUUCCUGUCUUAAUUACUGACACUGAGGAUCCAAAGCUUGGUCGCAAACAGGAU